CCCUGCCCAGCCGGCCAUGUGCGUGAAAUUUAAUGUUGAAGACAAAAGACAAUUUGGACAUGUCGACAACAUUGGCAAGGAUACCACCCCUUCCCUUGAAAUGCUCGGCAACUGAUCGUUUGGAAACUUCUUCAAGAUGAGAAAAAUGGGGACUGGCAAAAAAACUUGGGAUGGAGGACCUAUACUUACGCACGCUUAGAACUCGUCUGGAAGGGCAUUUCCAUCCUGGCGAUGGAGGCAGUUAUGACAUACCAUUCACUGAUCAGCUGCCUCCCCAACCUCCCUAUUCGGUCUGCCAGAAGCAGAUGAGCUGUGGACCUCACAAAAGCAUGGACCUCACAAAAGCAGAAGUUCUACCAAAAAAAUGAAUCUGAUGCCCUCAUUACUGCAGCCCAGACAAAGAGACGGGUCCAACUUGGCCUGGAGCACAGCGCUCUGGUGACACUGAGGUCCAAGAGUGGUACUCCAGAGGCUUUCAUGGAAGCUCUGAAAGGGAAGGGAGUGAAAAGCAAGGCCCUGCCUCUCCCCCUGCUUGGAGCAACACAUCAUUAAUACCAGGUGAGCUAUGUUAAUUAACGAGCACAUUGGAUGGUGUGUGCUGAACAUGUGAGCUCAGACUAGUGGGUGAGCAUUACAUGCCAUGAAGUAGCUGGUUAGUUUUGUAUUGAUCUGUUAAGACCAAUUAUUGUUGACAACAACUAUUCAGUUGAAUAGAGGAAGAGAUUAAAGCUAAACAAAAUUUGCAACCAAGUAAUACUAGCUGCUAUUAACACCAGAUGACUAUAGAAUCGUUCAUCUCUCCAUUUAAUGGUCUUGCAUGUGGCUUGUUAAAUCUUAUUCGUACUAUUUUAAUGUUUGUUUAAAUUUGCUUGCUCCAGAUAAAUAAUUAUUGACAGGUAAGCAAAUUUACGCUAUAUAUAUAUAUAUAUAUAUAUAUAAUUAUAGUGCGUGAAUAGGGGUUCUCUUUACAUAAGUCUGUGUAUAUAAAAGCAGCUGCUAAGUCAGUAUCACGCUCAGUUGUGUUUAAAAAAAGUUUUGUGCAAAACAGAAUGAUGUAUCCAGCCUCAUUACUAAAACUCUGCUUUUCCUGCUAGUUGUGCUGUGAGCUAGUGCUUGCAUUAGUGGCUGCAGCUCAGAAUGUGUGGCAAGCUGGAGCUGAUGCUGGAAUCCCCCUUGAGCAACCUAUUCAUCAUAUGGACUGUUUCCGGCUACUAAUUAUCCAGGAGCUCAGAUUGUGCAGCCUCUACAAGAGUCAUACCAAGCUUUUCUGCUAGAAGAUGGCUUACAGCAAGCAGUUGGUGGGCUUGGUAUUGCUCAGAAGUCACUGUAUCAGAGAAACCUUCCUUUAGCAAUGGUGGCAGGUCUGCGUAUCGAUCGAAGUGAGCUGUAAGCUGUUUGAUGAAGUAUGCUUUUGAAGGUUCCUUUGCAAGGAAUCCCUAGACUUCUUUACUGCAGUUGGAUUUAAUUUGUCUAAGACAUGUGAUUUUGUUUUAUGUCCCAGGUCCCUCUCAUUCAAAGUGGGAGUUAGUGAUGAACAAAAAGUAACUGUGACUACUAGCUUCUGUGUGUGUGUAUCUUUUUAUUGAUAUCCCUAUGUGUAUGCAUGGGUUUGCUCUAUUUACUAUCAUUAUAUAAACAAUUUGG